ensembl:lncRNA
CCUUAAUGAUGACAAGCUCCCCCAAAGAUUUAUUACUUUUUUUUGACAAUAUUUGCUGUUUGUGUGACACACUACUAAAAAUAUAAAAAGCAUACAGUACUUGGUUGAGACGUAACAUUUAAUAAUAAAAGUAUAGAUCCCCCCCCCGAAAUGGUUUGUUCCAGCUCGCCUCUCCCCUAUCUGGCUCUAGCACAGUUGCUACCAGAGCGAUGGUGGCUGAGACGCAGCGGAGCGGAGGUCGAGACAGCCAGGUUCAUAAUGGAAGUUUUUUUCAAAAAAAGGAGCCACAUUCAGUCCAAAGAGGGAGAGAGGAAAGAGGGGAACGUGAGGAGAAAGUACAAGGUCAGGAAGAACCAGGACAAGUGUUCAUUCCUGUGGAAUCCCUUCCUGAAGCUGGAGCAACUUAACAGCCUGAGCAAACACUAUUAAUAUGGGCGCACUCCAUCCAAGGUGCCCCAAAUAUCACAGCUCUCUAAAUAACGAUGUCUGUUGUGAGUGAUUGGGGCUUUGCAUCUUGUACCUACGGGACAGAGGACACAUUUGUAAUGUAGUUACACAGUAAAACCUAAUAUUGUGCUUAAUUAAAUAUAUUAAGUAGACUAAACUCCGUUUUCAUCAACUUGUCAUUAGAACUCAGUUUAAGUAAGUUACCAGUACUUUGUUGUUAAAAAAGCUGAUCAACCCAGUUCAUUUGAGUUGCCUUAAACUAUAAAAACUAAGUAAAUUGGAAAUUUGCUUUUGAGUGGUGGUAUAUUUUACUUAAGUAGGGUUACAAUUCACAGCCUGCUUGGCUUCCCCUUUAUGUCACGUUCCUGGGUCUGUUGACCCAGCGUUUUGAGUUUUAGUUUAUUUUGAUGUUUAUGGUUUAUUUCUAACUUCAUUAGGUUAUCUAAGCUCAUUUGUUUAUUUAGAUUCCCCUUGUGUCUUCUACCCCUGUGUUUUAGUCUCCUUUUGCCCUUUACGUGUUUCACGCUGCGUGUCUUAUGUUGUCAAGGUUAUAUUGUCUUGUCUGCGUCUCAUGUUUCCUGUUUUAUUUUGAAGGUCUAUGUUCUAUGUCAGUGUAGUCAGCUUUGCUUCCUUUGUCUUGUUAUGUCAGACCAGUGUCAGCUGUUUCCCCAUGUGUUUCCACUUCCCCUAAUCACCCUUGUGUGUAUUUAGUCUGUGUGUUUCUGUUCAUUCUUUGUCAGGUCGUCUGUUGUUCCACGCCGUGUUUCUAGGAUUUUCCAUGUUUAGGUUUUUUGCAAUGUUCAAGGUUUUGUUCUUUACCGUUUGUGUUUAGCAUCUAGUUUUCCCAGUUUAGUUGUGAUUAGGUUCUUUCUUGUGUGCAUCUGCCUUUUGUUUUUGUACCUUUUUAUCAGCCAUAUUAAACGGCUCACCUUUUGUUGACACUCAAGUUUUGGUCCAAGUUCCUUCGUGUCUGCAUUUUGGGUCCGCUCUUCACAACACAUACAGUCUGC